rnacentral:rRNA from 1 species
GGGGAUAACCCGGAGAAAUCCGGCCUAAUACCGCGUAACACCUUUUGGGAGCAUUCCCGGGAGGUUAAAGGAGAGAUCCGGCAUAGGAUGGACAUGCGUCGCAUUAGGUAGACGGCGGGGUAACGGCCCACCGUGCCGACGAUGCGUAGGGGUUCUGAGAGGAAGGCCCCCCACACUGGUACUGAGACACGGACCAGACUCCUACGGGAGGCAGCAGUGAGGAAUAUUGGUCAAUGGCCGAGAGGCUGAACCAGCCAAGUCGCGUGAGGGAAGAAUGUCCUAAGGAUUGUAAACCUCUUUUGUCGGGGAGCAAAAAGGCUCUGCGGAGUCGUAUUGAGAGUACCCGAAGAAAAAGCAUCGGCUAACUCCGUGCCAGCAGCCGCGGUAAUACGGAGGAUGCGAGCGUUAUCCGGAUUUAUUGGGUUUAAAGGGUGCGCAGGCGGCGUGUCAAGCAAGCGGUAAAAUAGCGGGGCUCAACCCCGUCGAGCCGUUUGAACUGGCGCGCUUGGGUUCAGGCGAGGUAGGCGGAAUUCGUGGUGUAGCGGUGAAAUGCAUAGAUAUCACGAAGAACUCCGAUUGCGAAGGCAGCUUACCAGUCUGCGACUGACGCUCAGGCACGAAAGUGUGGGUAUCGAACAGGAUUAGAUACCCUGGUAGUCCACACAGUAAACG